rfam:Dipodomys ordii contig_66846, whole genome shotgun sequence.
GUGAAAGUGGCUCAGUGGUAGAGUACUUGCCUUGGAUGCAUGAGGCCCUGGGUUCAAUUCCUCAGCACCACA